rnacentral:rRNA from 1 species
GAUGAACGCUGGCGGCGUGCCUAAUACAUGCAAGUCGAGCGAACAGACGAGGAGCUUGCUCCUCUGACGUUAGCGGCGGACGGGUGAGUAACACGUGGAUAACCUACCUAUAAGACUGGGAUAACUUCGGGAAACCGGAGCUAAUACCGGAUAAUAUAUUGAACCGCAUGGUUCAAUAGUGAAAGACGGUUUUGCUGUCACUUAUAGAUGGAUCCGCGCCGCAUUAGCUAGUUGGUAAGGUAACGGCUUACCAAGGCAACGAUGCGUAGCCGACCUGAGAGGGUGAUCGGCCACACGGGAACUGAGACACGGUCCAGACACCUACGGGAGGCAGCAGUAGGGAAUCUUCCGCAAUGGGCGAAAGCCUGACGGAGCAAAGCCGCGUGAGUGAUGAAGGUCUUCGGAUCGUAAAACUCUGUUAUUAGGGAAGAACAAAUGUGUAAGUAACUAUGCACGUCUUGACGGUACCUAAUCAGAAAGCCACGGCUAACUACGUG